rnacentral:rRNA from 1 species
GAUGAACGCUGGCGGCGUGCCUAAUACAUGCAAGUCGAGCGGAGCGGGGACGGGGGAGUAAAACGUGGAUAACCUCCUAUAAGGCUGGGAUAAAUUCGGGGAACCGGAGCUAAAACGGAACCUUAUAGAUGGAUAGACGCGGCAUUAGCUAGUUGGUAAGGUAAAGGCUUACCAAGGCAACGAUGCAUAGCCGACCUGGGAGGGUGAUCGGCCACACUGGAACUGAGACACGGUCCAGACUCCUACGGGAGGCAGCAGUAGGGAAUCUUCCGCAAUGGGCGAAAGCCUGACGGAGCAACGCCGCGUGAGUGAUGAAGGUCUUCGGAUUGUAAAGCUCUGUUAUUAGGGAAGCGUUACCUAAUCAGAAAGCCACGGCUAACUACGUGCCAGCAGCCGCGGUAAUAC